rnacentral:rRNA from 1 species
UAAAUAGAGCUUUUGCUCGUGAACCAAAUAUGGUGGGCUGGGUUGUCUUUGCGGAAACGCUUAGCUGACUUGUCUACGAAUUGUAAUCAUAAUAUGGGCGACGGUGAAUCCUUUGCAGACGACUUGAAUGGGAACGGGGUACUGUAAGUGGUAGAGUAGCCUUGUUGCUACGAUCCACUGAGGUUAAGCCCUUGUUCUAAAGAUUUGU